UCUGUGUGCUCCAAGAUGACUCAGCCAGCUUUCCCUUCAAGUCAUUUAUGCCUCAAAUCCCAUCCUGAGGGGUCCAGAGGCAGGCACUGAGCUGCUACCACAGAGGCACUGAGCUUCUCCGUGCCGGUAACACCCACUGACGCCAUUUUGUUUUCCCGCCACAGGAGGGCUGCCUCUCAGGCCAGGCCCUCACCCCACAGCCUCCCCAGAUCCGUGUGCGUUGGGGAGAGGGGUUGCAUCUCACCUCACAUACCGUAUAUUCAAAUAUAUAUCAAUGUAUGGGUAUGACAUAGUUGUGAGAGAUUGCUGCCAGGCUCUGGGAUUUGUAUGUGGUUGAUUUCAGAGGCAUUGUCAUCGUGACAGCUGGGGAAGGCUCUGGGGAAGCCAAGCUUGGAGGGGAGAGCUUAAAAAGAAGACAAGGCAGAGCAAGUAGUCCAGCCUGACACAUCAUUGGCUUUGUGCUCAACUAAAUGAAGUCAGAAUUCAGACCUCUUAUAGCAGAGCAUUGUGGAGGGGUUCUUU
rnacentral:lncRNA from 1 species